UACGAAGGGGGCUAGCGUUGCUCGGAAUCACUGGGCGUAAAGGGUGCGUAGGCGGGUUUUUAAGUCAGGGGUGAAAUCCUGGAGCUCAACUCCAGAACUGCCUUUGAUACUGAAAAUCUUGAGUAUGGGAGAGGUGAGUGGAACUGCGAGUGUAGAGGUGAAAUUCGUAGAUAUUCGCAAGAACACCAGUGGCGAAGGCGGCUCACUGGCCCAUUACUGACGCUGAGGCACGAAAGCUAGGGGAGCGAACGGG
rnacentral:rRNA from 1 species